rnacentral:rRNA from 1 species
AGCGAACGCUGGCGGCAGGCCUAACACAUGCAAGUCGAACGAAGUCUUCGGACUUAGUGGCGGACGGGUGAGUAACACGUGGGAACGUACCUUUUGGUUCGGAACAACUCAGGGAAACUUGAGCUAAUACCGGAUGCGCCCCUAGGGGGAAAGAUUUAUCGCCGAAAGAGCGGCCCGCGUUAGAUUAGCUAGUUGGUGAGGUAAAGGCUCACCAAGGCUACGAUCUAUAGCUGGUCUGAGAGGAUGAUCAGCCACACUGGGACUGAGACACGGCCCAGACUCCUACGGGAGGCAGCAGUGGGGAAUCUUGCGCAAUGGGCGAAAGCCUGACGCAGCCAUGCCGCGUGAAUGAUGAAGGUCUUAGGAUUGUAAAAUUCUUUUACCAGGGACGAUAAUGACGGUACCUGGAGAAAAAGCCCCGGCUAACUUCGUGCCAGCCGCCGCGGUAAAAC